UGCCAACAGCUCCUGCAGCACCUGCCUCUGUAGCCACUGCCUCCAAGGACGUGCCUGCUGAAACUGCUGCCACCGCUGUGGCGAACUGUUCAUUUAUCAGCGAUGGACAGGUUCAUCUGGCCAACGGUGUCUUGCUGCAGAGGGCCACUUAUGACCAACUGAUGGGAGUCCAGAAGGACUCCCAUUUUGUUAAAAGGGCCGCCGUCGCAAUCUGGUCGUCAGAGGUCCUCGCUCAAAGGAGCUUCACCGGGACCCUGACGAACCGGUUUGUGGCGGAAGGUGGCCAGAAAGCCCCACAACAGCCACUGACGCCUCACAAAGUAGAUGCACUGAGAGUCUUUUUCAGGCACUAGGGUAUAUCCAGAGGCAAGACACCAGACGAGGUGGAAAAUGCCCAAAAAAAUAUCAGACUGUGGCUGUCCCAAAAGACAUCCGAAUUGAGGCGAGGAUCUAGGAAAUAAAUGCAUUCUUUUCCUUU
rnacentral:lncRNA from 1 species